AGUGAACGCUGGCGGUAGGCCUAACACAUGCAAGUCGAACGGCAGCACAGUAAGAGCUUGCUCUUACGGGUGGCGAGUGGCGGACGGGUGAGGAAUACAUCGGAAUCUACUUUUUCGUGGGGGAUAACGUAGGGAAACUUACGCUAAUACAGCAUACGACCUACGGGUGAAAGCAGGGGAUCUUCGGACCUUGCGCGAUUGAAUGAGCCGAUGUCGGAUUAGCUAGUUGGCGGGGUAAAGGCCCACCAAGGCGACGAUCCGUAGCUGAUCUGAGAGGAUGAUCAGCCACACUGGAACUGAGACACGGUCCAGACUCCUACGGGAGGCAGCAGUGGGGAAUAUUGGACAAUGGGCGCAAGCCUGAUCCAGCCAUACCGCGUGGGUGAAGAAGGCCUUCGGGUUGUAAAGCCCUUUUGUUGGGAAAGAAAAGCAGCAGGUUAAUACCCCGCUGUUCUGACGGUACCCAAAGAAUAAGCACCGGCUAACUUCGUG
rnacentral:rRNA from 1 species